AGCAGCCGCGGUAAUUCCAGCUCCAAUAGCGUAUAUUAAAGUUGUUGCAGUUAAAAAGCUCGUAGUUGAAUUUCAGGCCUGGCUGGACGGUCCGCCCUUCGGGUGAGUACUGUCUGUGGUCGGGUCCUACCUUCUGGCGAAGCGUCAUGGCCUUAACCGGCCGUGGCGGGGAACCAGGACUUUUACUGUGAAAAAAUUAGAGUGUUCAAAGCAGGCAAAUCGCUUGGAUACAUUAGCAUGGAAUAAUGGAAUAGGACGAUGGUUCUAUUUGUUGGUUUCUAGGACCGUUGUAAUGAUUAAUAGGGAUAGUUGGGGGCAUUAGUAUUCAAUUGUCAGAGGUGAAAUUCUUGGAUUUAUUGAAGACUAACUACUGCGAAAGCAUUUGCCAAGGAUGUUUUCAUUAAUCAAGAACGAAAGUUAGGGGAUCGAAGACGAUCAGAUACCGUCGUAGUCUUAACCAUAAACUAUGCCGACUAGGAAUCGGGCGAUGUUGACAAAAUGACGCGCUCGGCACCUCAUG
rnacentral:rRNA from 1 species